rnacentral:rRNA from 1 species
AGAGUUUGAUCCUGGCUCAGGAUGAACGCUGGCGGCGUGCUUAACACAUGCAAGUCGAACGAAGCAUUUAAGACGGAUUACUUCGGUUUGAAGUCUUUUAUGACUGAGUGGCGGACGGGUGAGUAACGCGUGGGUAACCUGCCUCAUACAGGGGGAUAACAGUUGGAAACGACUGCUAAUACCGCAUAAGCGCACAGGAUCGCAUGAUCCGGUGUGAAAAACUCCGGUGGUAUGGGAUGGACCCGCGUCUGAUUAGCCAGUUGGCAGGGUAACGGCCUACCAAAGCGACGAUCAGUAGCCGACCUGAGAGGGUGACCGGCCACAUUGGGACUGAGACACGGCCCAAACUCCUACGGGAGGCAGCAGUGGGGAAUAUUGCACAAUGGGGGAAACCCUGAUGCAGCGACGCCGCGUGAGUGAAGAAGUAUUUCGGUAUGUAAAGCUCUAUCAGCAGGGAAGAAAAUGACGGUACCUGACUAAGAAGCACCGGCUAAAUACGUGCCAGCAGCCGCGGUAAUACGUAUGGUGCAAGCGUUAUCCGGAUUUACUGGGUGUAAAGGGAGCGUAGACGGAGAGGCAAGUCUGAUGUGAAAACCCGGGGCUCAACCCCGGGACUGCAUUGGAAACUGUUUUUCUAGAGUGUCGGAGAGGUAAGUGGAAUUCCUAGUGUAGCGGUGAAAUGCGUAGAUAUUAGGAGGAACACCAGUGGCGAAGGCGGCUUACUGGACGAUAACUGACGCUGAGGCUCGAAAGCGUGGGGAGCAAACAGGAUUAGAUACCCUGGUAGUCCACGCC